rnacentral:rRNA from 1 species
UGAGGAAUAUUGGUCAAUGGGAGAGAUCCUGAACCAGCCAAGCCGCGUGAGGGAAGACGGCCCUAUGGGUUGUAAACCUCUUUUGUCGGAGAACAAAACCCGGGACGAGUCCCGGACUGCGUGUAUCCGAAGAAAAAGCAUCGGCUAACUCCGUGCCAGCAGCCGCGGUAAUACGGAGGAUGCGAGCGUUAUCCGGAUUUAUUGGGUUUAAAGGGUGCGUAGGCGGUCCGUUAAGUCAGCGGUAAAAUUGCGGGGCUCAACCCCGUCGAGCCGUUGAAACUGGCAGACUUGAGUUGGCGAGAAGUACGCGGAAUGCGCGGUGUAGCGGUGAAAUGCAUAGAUAUCGCGCAGAACUCCGAUUGCGAAGGCAGCGUACCGGCGCCACACUGACGCUGAGGCACGAAAGCGUGGGGAUCGAACAGG